GGGUUUACCCAUUGAUCAGGCUUAAUUGUCUGUACUGGUGAGAUAAAUCUCUACCUUCUGAGGAACUUUCAUGUCAUUAAUUUGGUGUGAUUGGAAAUCAGGACUGUUACUUUGAAAAAAUUAGAGUGUUUAAAGCAGGCUAACGUCUGAAUACAUUAGCAUGGAAUAAUGAAAUAGGACGGAUUGAUUCUAUUUCGUUGGUUUCUAGGAUCACCGUA
rnacentral:rRNA from 1 species